rnacentral:lncRNA from 1 species
ACAGAACUUUCACCAUCGGAAUCUCUUUGUUCCUUAGCUGUCUGAUCUGUGUGUCCAGAAUCCACACUGGCUGCUCUAUGUAGGUGAGAUCUGUAAGAAUCUCCACCUCAGGCUCACUCAGAACCUGAUUUGGAUCUGACACAAACUGUCGUAGCAUAGAAACAUGAAAUACCGGGUGAAUUCUCUCCAUAGAAGCAAGUAAUUCCAGCUUAUACGAUACAUUUCCGAUCCUCUGCAACAC